rnacentral:rRNA from 1 species
CCUACGGGUGGCUGCAGUCGGGAAUUUUGGGCAAUGGGCGAAAGCCUGACCCAGCAACGCCGCGUGAGGGAUGAAGUAUUUCGGUAUGUAAACCUCGAAAGAAUAGGAAGAAUAAAUGACGGUACUAUUUAUAAGCUCCGGCUAACUACGUGCCAGCAGCCGCGGUAAUACGUAGGGAGCAAGCGUUGUUCGGAUUUACUGGGCGUAAAGGGCGCGUAGGCGGCGUGUUAAGUCAGCUGUGAAAUCUCCAAGCUCAACUUGGAACGGCCAGCUGA